ACGGGAGGCAGCAGUGGGGGAUAUUGCACAAUGGGCGAAAGCCUGAUGCAGCAACGCCGCGUGAGGGAAGAAGGUCUUCGGAUUGUAAACCUCUGUUUUUAGUGACGAAACAAAUGACGGUAGCUAAAGAGGAAGCCACGGCUAACUACGUGCCAGCAGCCGCGGUAAUACGUAGGUGGCAAGCGUUGUCCGGAUUUACUGGGUGUAAAGGGUGCGCAGGCGGGACUGCAAGUUGGAUGUGAAAUACCGGAGCUCAACUCCGGAACUGCGUCCAAAACUGUAGUUCUUGAGUGGAGUAGAGGUAAGCGGAAUUCCGAGUGUAGCGGUGAAAUGCGUAGAUAUUCGGAGGAACACCAGUGGCGAAGGCGGCUUACUGGGCUCUAACUGACGCUGAGGCACGAAAGUGUGGGUAGCAAACAGGAUUAGAUACCCUGGUA
rnacentral:rRNA from 1 species